rnacentral:rRNA from 1 species
GCGUGAGUGAUGAAGGCCUUAGGGUUGUAAAGCUCUUUCGUCCACGACGAUGAUGACGGUAGUGGAAGAAGAAGCCCCGGCUAACUUCGUGCCAGCAGCCGCGGUAAUACGAAGGGGGCUAGCGUUGUUCGGAAUUACUGGGCGUAAAGCGCACGCAGGCGGCGUAUUAAGUCAGGGGUGAAAGGCCCGGGCUCAACCCGGGAACUGCCUUUGAGACUGAUACGCUGGAGUACGGAAGAGGGUAGUGGAAUUCCCAGUGUAGAGGUGAAAUUCGU